CACAAGUGGCCUUUCAAGCUUGCCACUACGACUUAUUUUUUUGUAUUGUUUCUAUUAAUUUGUAGUAUUUAUAACAGUGGGAAAUUGCAACACAAUAUUUUGGAUUAUUAUUAUUAAAGUGACAUUUUAUGGCUCUGUGUAAAGGCCCAAUCAAUGGAGAUGCCCAAUAUGGUGAUGAACGAGACUGCAGGACCAGGCGGGCAUUAAUCAUGCUUGGAGGAAUUUCCCAUCAUAAAUUACGCUUUGCCGGCUUUGGAAUGAAGUGAUUGAUGGCUUAAUCGAUGGAUGUCUUAAUUGGGUAAAAGGCAAUCAGUUUGGCUUUUUGGUUGCUAAUUUAUGCAUGUAUGUUGCGGAGAAACAGAAGAGUAAUAUGAUAAUUAUGCAGUCAACAGUUUUGACUAGCCUGAGCCCCUUUUUCACAUUGAACCCAUAACACAUCCAAGGCAGUAAUGCAUUUAGAUGUUCUCGAAUAUAUUGUCUCUCCGAAUGCUAGAGGUUUCCGUACCUUCAACCUUCUUAAACCUCCAAAUCGUCCCGGUUUUCCGACUCACGUCCUAAGUAAUCGAGGGGCUCCUAUUAUGUGACCCUAGCGAAGCCAUUUGGGAUGCCAAAUAAAUAUAAAUUCUAUGAUUUUAAAGCUGAA